rnacentral:rRNA from 1 species
UACGUAGGGGGCUAGCGUUGUCCGGAAUCAUUGGGCGUAAAGCGCGUGUAGGCGGUCCGGUAAGUCCGCUGUGAAAGUCCAGGGCUCAACCCUGGAAUGCCGGUGGAAACUGUCGAGCUAGAGUCCGGAAGAGGCGAGUGGAAUUCCUGGUGUAGCGGUGAAAUGCGCAGAUAUCAGGAGGAACACCAAUGGCGAAGGCAGCUCGCUGGGACGGUACUGACGCUGAGACGCGAAAGCGUGGGGAGCAAACAGG